rnacentral:rRNA from 1 species
AACGCGAAGAACCUUACCAGCCCUUGACAUCCCGGUCGCGGGAACGAGAGAUCGAUCCCUUCAGUUCGGCUGGACCGGAGACAGGUGCUGCAUGGCUGUCGUCAGCUCGUGUCGUGAGAUGUUGGGUUAAGUCCCGCAACGAGCGCAACCCUCGCCCUUAGUUGCCAUCAUUCAGUUGGGCUCUCUAAGGGGACUGCCGGUGAUAAGCCGCGAGGAAGGUGGGGAUGACGUCAAGUCCUCAUGGCCCUUACGGGCUGGGCUACACACGUGCUACAAUGGCGGUGACAGUGGGAUGCAAUGGGGCAACCCUGCGCAAAUCUCAAAAAGCCGUCUCAGUUCGGAUUGCACUCUGCAACUCGAGUGCAUGAAGUUGGAAUCGCUAGUAAUCGCAGAUCAGCACGCUGCGGUGAAUACGUUCCCGGGUCUGUACACACCG